rnacentral:misc_RNA from 1 species
AAAUGCGAUAAGUAGUGUGAAUUGCAGAAUUCAGUGAAUCAUCGAAUCUUUGAACGCACAUUGCGCCCCUUGGUAUUCCAUGGGGCAUGCCUGUUCGAGCGUCAUUUGUACCCUCAAGCUCUGCUUGGUGUUUGGUGUUUGUCCCCGUCUCCGCGCGUGGACUCGCCCCAAAGUGAUUGGCAGCCGGCGUACUGGUCCCGGAGCGCAGCACAUGUCGCGCAAACGAGUGCCUUGGUACGGCGGCGUCCAUAAGCCCCUCUCUCACGCUCUUGACCUCGGAUCAGGUAGGGAUACCCGCUGAACUUAAGC